UGUCUUUGGCCAGAACAGCCUAUAAUAGAAGAAAGCAGGUUGUCAGAUAACUGAGCAUUGGGAAAAAAAAAAAAAAAGCAGGCAGUGAUGGUACAUGCCUGUAUGAUCCCAGCAACUCAGGAGACUGAGGCAAGAGGACCACAACUUCAAGGCCGUCCUGGACAAUUUAGCAAGACCCUUCUCAAAAAAAAUAAGCUGUGGAGGUAGCUAAGCCAUAUUAACAGAUUCAAGGAGGGUGGAGACACUAUAUUCAAAUAGAAGACUCAAAAUUCUUUGCGGAUCUGAAAUAAAGUGUGUUUGGAAGGAACAUAUAAAGCUAGAUUUAGCUUUUGCAUAUGUGUAUGCAAGCAGCUCUCUGAUCAUGCUCAGAUGUGUGCCAACAUUCUCAUUUUACACCAGGUUAGAAUGCAAUGUCCACCCUGAAGUACAUCUUGGCAAAAACUUGAAGUAAGUAAUAGAAUUGCUCUGCUACCUUCUACUACUUGAUUCCCUCAGGGUCAGAAGAAAGAAGUGGUUGAAACAGGAAAAUUCUUUGGGGUAAAAGUCUUGAAGAGACUGCUCCUGUGUCACAAGGAUAGAUUCACUAAUCCUUGGUUCCUGCUUUGCUUCCCACAUAGCAAGUUAUUUGAAAUCUGAAUUUUGAAGGAAUAGCUAAGGAGUGAAUAUUGAGGCCAUCCAUACCUUAAGUAGCACUUGAUAGCACACCUGUGUGAUCGGAUGCUUUGUCAUUUCAGGGUUACAACUAAGACUUUGUAUCCUCUUUCUUGGAAGGAGUUACUUAUUUGGAGUGGUGUAAUCCUGGUCUGGAAACAAAGGAGGGGAGUUUACAAGAGGUGCUUUGUGGGCUGGAGUUGUGGCUCAGUGAUAGAGUGCUUACCUCACACAUGUGAGGCACUGGGUUCAAUCCUCAGCACCACAUAAAAAUAAAAG
rnacentral:lncRNA from 1 species